UCGGGGGUACUCGAGUGGCGAACGGGUGAGUAACACGUGGGCAAUCUGCCCUGCACUUCGGGAUUNCCAAGCCUGGGAAACUGGGGAAAUCUAAUACCGGAUAGGACCUUUAGACGCAUGUCUUUUGGUGGGAAGCUUUUGCGGUGUGGGAUGGGCCCGCGGCCUAUCAGCUUGUUGGUGGGGUGACGGCCUACCAAGGCGACGACGGGUAGCCGGCCUGAGAGGGUGUCCGGCCACACUGGGACUGAGAUACGGCCCAGACUCCUACGGGAGGCAGCAGUGGGGAAUAUUGCACAAUGGGCGCAAGCCUGAUGCAGCGACGCCGCGUGGGGGAUGACGGCCUUCGGGUUGUAAACCUCUUUCACCAUCGACGAAGGUUCGGGUUUUCUCGGAUUGACGGUAGGUGGAGAAGAAGCACCGGCCAACUACGUGCCAGCAGCCGCGGUAAUACGUAGGGUGCGAGCGUUGUCCGGAAUUACUGGGCGUAAAGAGCUCGUAGGUGGUUUGUCGCGUUGUUCGUGAAAUCUCACGGCUUAACUGUGAGCGUGCGGGCGAUACGGGCAGACUAGAGUACUGCAGGGGAGACUGGAAUUCCUGGUGUAGCGGUGGAAUGCGCAGAUAUCAGGAGGAACACCGGUGGCGAAGGCGGGUCUCUGGGCAGUAACUGACGCUGAGGAGCGAAAGCGUGGGGAGCGAACAGGAUUAGAUACCCUGGUAGUCCACGCCGUAAACGGUGGGUACUAGGUGUGGGUUUCCUUCCUUGGGAUCCGUGCCGUAGCUAACGCAUUAAGUACCCCGCCUGGGGAGUACGGCCGCAAGGCUAAAACUCAAAGGAAUUGACGGGGGCCCGCACAAGCGGCGGAGCAUGUGGAUUAAUUCGAUGCAACGCGAAGAACCUUACCUGGGUUUGACAUGCACAGGACGCGUCUAGAGAUAGGCGUUCCCUUGUGGCCUGUGUGCAGGUGGUGCAUGGCUGUCGUCAGCUCGUGUCGUGAGAUGUUGGGUUAAGUCCCGCAACGAGCGCAACCCUUGUCUCAUGUUGCCAGCGGGUAAUGCCGGGGACUCGUGAGAGACUGCCGGGGUCAACUCGGAGGAAGGUGGGGAUGACGUCAAGUCAUCAUGCCCCUUAUGUCCAGGGCUUCACACAUGCUACAAUGGCCGGUACAAAGGGCUGCGAUGCCGCAAGGUUGAGCGAAUCCUAAGCCNGUCUCAUUUAAAGCCGGUCUCAGUUCGGCCCAUUGGGGUCUGCAACUCGACCCCAUGAAGUCGGAGUCGCUAGUAANNNCNUUCGCAGAUCAGCAACGCUGCGGUGAAUACGUUCCCGGGCCUUGUACACACCGCCCGUCACGUCAUGAAAGUCGGUAACACCCGAAGCCAGUGGCCU
rnacentral:rRNA from 1 species